AUCUCGAAUGUGAGUUCGUCUAU
rnacentral:sRNA from 1 species